GACGAACCGUGCGAACGUUAUUCGGAAUCACUGGGCUUAAAGCGCGUGUAGGCGGCCCCGGCACGUCCGUCGCUGAAAUCCCCCGGGCUCAACCUGGGAAUUGCGUUGGAGACUGCAAGGCUGGAGUCUGGCAGAGGGGGGGUAGAAUUCCACGUGUAGCAGUGAAAUGCGUAGAGAUGUGGAGGAACACCGAUGGCGAAGGCAGCCCCCCUGGGUCAAGACUGACGCUCAUGCACGAAAGCGUGGGGAGCAAACAGG
rnacentral:rRNA from 1 species